UACGGGGGGGGCAAGCGUUUGUUCGGAAUUACUGGGCGUAAAGGGCUCGUAGGCGGCCAACUAAGUCAGACGUGAAAUCCCUCGGCUUAACCGGGGGAACUGCGUCUGAUACUGGAUGGCUUGAGUUUGGGAGAGGGAUGCGGAAUUCCAGGUGUAGCGGUGAAAUGCGUAGAUAUCUGGAGGAACACCGGUGGCGAAGGCGGCGAUCCUGGACCAACACUGACGCUGAGUGAGCGAAAGCCAGGGGAG
rnacentral:rRNA from 1 species